AUUGAACGCUGGCGGCAGGCCUAACACAUGCAAGUCGAGCGGAGCGGCGGACGGGUGAGUAAUGCCUAGGAAUUUGCCUGUUAGUGGGGGAUAACGUACGGAAAGGGGCGCUAAUACCGCAUACUAUCAGAUGAGCCUAGGUCGGAGUAGCUAGUUGGUGGGGUAAUGGCCUACCAAGGCGAUGAUCCGUAACUGGUCUGAGAGGAGGAUCAGUCACACUGGAACUGAGACACGGUCCAGACUCCUACGGGAGGCAGCAGUGGGGAAUAUUGGACAAUGGGCGAAAGCCUGAUCCAGCCAUGCCGCGUGUGUGAAGAAGGUCUUCGGAUUGUAAAGCACUUUAAGUUGGGAGGCGUUACCAACAGAAGAAGCACCGGCUAACUUCGUGCCAGCAGCCGCGGUAAUAC
rnacentral:rRNA from 1 species